GGAGCCUUGUCGAACCAAUGAGUGUUGGUUUUUUGUGCCAUUAGAAUUAUCUUUGGUGGGUUGGUGUUGGUUUGGUUGUGAAGAAUCUUGAUUUUCAUCAACACUCCAUAAGUUAGCAAGAAAUUCAUCCAUGUUCAUGGAACCAAAACUCUUGCCACUCUUGUGUUGAAUUUCAUUGAGAGUAAGUGACAGGAGAGAAUUCUG
rnacentral:misc_RNA from 1 species